GGGUUGUGAGGUUAAGCGAACAAGCGUACACGGUGGAUGCCCUGGCAGUCAGAGGCGAUGAAGGACGUGCUAAUCUGCGAAAAGCGCCGGUAAGGUGAUAUGAACCGUUAUAACCGGCGAUGUCCGAAUGGGGAAACCCGGUGCACUUCGGUGCAUCAUCGUUAGCUGAAUACAUAGGCUAACGAGGCGAACCGGGGGAACUGAAACAUCUAAGUACCCCGAGGAAAAGAAAUCAACCGAGAUUCCCCCAGUAGCGGCGAGCGAACGGGGAACAGCCCAGAGCCUGAAUCAGCUUGUGUGUCAGUGGAACGGUCUGGAAAGGCCGGCGAUACAGGGUGACAGCCCCGUACACGAAGGCACACAGGCUGUGAGCUCGAUGAGUAGGGCGGGACACGUGAUAUCCUGUCUGAAGAUGGGGGGACCAUCCUCCAAGGCUAAAUACUCCUGACUGACCGAUAGUGAACCAGUACCGUGAGGGAAAGGCGAAAAGAACCCCGGCGAGGGGAGUGAAACAGAACCUGAAACCGUGUACGUACAAGCAGUGGGAGCCUUCGUAAGAGGGUGACUGCGUACCUUUUGUAUAAUGGGUCAGCGACUUAUAUUCUGUAGCAAGGUUAACCGUAUAGGGGAGCCGAAGGGAAACCGAGUCUUAACCGGGCGUUAAGUUGCAGGGUAUAGACCCGAAACCCGGUGAUCUAGCCAUGGGCAGGUUGAAGGUUGGGUAACACUAACUGGAGGACCGAACCGACUAAUGUUGAAAAAUUAGCGGAUGACCUGUGGCUGGGGGUGAAAGGCCAAUCAAACCGGGAGAUAGCUGGUUCUCCCCGAAAGCUAUUUAGGUAGCGCCUCGUGAAUUCAUCUCCGGGGGUAGAGCACUGUUUCGGCUAGGGGGCCAUCCCGGCUUACCAACCCGAUGCAAACUGCGAAUACCGGAGAAUGUUAUCACGGGAGACACACGGCGGGUGCUAACGUCCGUCGUGAAGAGGGAAACAACCCAGACCGCCAGCUAAGGUCCCAAAGUCAUGGUUAAGUGGGAAACGAUGUGGGAAGGCCCAGACAGCCAGGAUGUUGGCUUAGAAGCAGCCAUCAUUUAAAGAAAGCGUAAUAGCUCACUGGUCGAGUCGGCCUGCGCGGAAGAUGUAACGGGGCUAAACCAUGCACCGAAGCUGCGGCAGCGACACUGUGUGUUGUUGGGUAGGGGAGCGUUCUGUAAGCCUGUGAAGGUGUGCUGUGAGGCAUGCUGGAGGUAUCAGAAGUGCGAAUGCUGACAUAAGUAACGAUAAAGCGGGUGAAAAGCCCGCUCGCCGGAAGACCAAGGGUUCCUGUCCAACGUUAAUCGGGGCAGGGUGAGUCGACCCCUAAGGCGAGGCCGAAAGGCGUAGUCGAUGGGAAACAGGUUAAUAUUCCUGUACUUGGUGUUACUGCGAAGGGGGGACGGAGAAGGCUAUGUCGGCCGGGCGACGGUUGUCCCGGUUUAAGCGUGUAGGCUGACUUUCCAGGCAAAUCCGGAAGGUUAAGGCUGAGGCGUGAUGACGAGGCACCACGGUGCUGAAGUGACAAAUGCCCUGCUUCCAGGAAAAGCCUCUAAGCAUCAGGUAACAUCAAAUCGUACCCCAAACCGACACAGGUGGUCAGGUAGAGAAUACCAAGGCGCUUGAGAGAACUCGGGUGAAGGAACUAGGCAAAAUGGUGCCGUAACUUCGGGAGAAGGCACGCUGACAUGUAGGUGAAGCCCCUGCGGGUGGAGCUGAAGUCAGUCGAAGAUACCAGCUGGCUGCAACUGUUUAUUAAAAACACAGCACUGUGCAAACACGAAAGUGGACGUAUACGGUGUGACGCCUGCCCGGUGCCGGAAGGUUAAUUGAUGGGGUUAUCGCAAGAGAAGCUCCUGAUCGAAGCCCCGGUAAACGGCGGCCGUAACUAUAACGGUCCUAAGGUAGCGAAAUUCCUUGUCGGGUAAGUUCCGACCUGCACGAAUGGCGUAAUGAUGGCCAGGCUGUCUCCACCCGAGACUCAGUGAAAUUGAACUCGCUGUGAAGAUGCAGUGUACCCGCGGCAAGACGGAAAGACCCCGUGAACCUUUACUACAGCUUGACACUGAACAUUGAGCCUUGAUGUGUAGGAUAGGUGGGAGGCUUUGAAGCGUGGACGCCAGUCUGCGUGGAGCCGACCUUGAAAUACCACCCUUUAAUGUUUGAUGUUCUAACCUGGCGCCGUGAUCCGGCGUGGGGACAGUGUCUGGUGGGUAGUUUGACUGGGGCGGUCUCCUCCCAAAGUGUAACGGAGGAGCACGAAGGUCAGCUAAUCCUGGUCGGACAUCAGGAGGUUAGUGCAAUGGCAUAAGCUGGCUUGACUGCGAGAGUGACGGCUCGAGCAGGUGCGAAAGCAGGUCAUAGUGAUCCGGUGGUUCUGUAUGGAAGGGCCAUCGCUCAACGGAUAAAAGGUACUCCGGGGAUAACAGGCUGAUACCGCCCAAGAGUUCAUAUCGACGGCGGUGUUUGGCACCUCGAUGUCGGCUCAUCACAUCCUGGGGCUGAAGUAGGUCCCAAGGGUAUGGCUGUUCGCCAUUUAAAGUGGUACGCGAGCUGGGUUUAGAACGUCGUGAGACAGUUCGGUCCCUAUCUGCCGUGGGCGCUGGAGAAUUGAGGGGGGCUGCUCCCAGUACGAGAGGACCGGAGUGGACGCAUCACUGGUGUUCGGGUUGUCAUGCCAAUGGCACUGCCCGGUAGCUAAAUGCGGAAGAGAUAAGUGCUGAAAGCAUCUAAGCACGAAACUUGCCCCGAGAUGAGUUCUCCCUGACUCCUUGAGAGUCCUGAAGGAACGUUGAAGACGACGACGUUGAUAGGCCGGGUGUGUAAGCGCAGCGAUGCGUUGAGCUAACCGGUACUAAUGAACCGUGAGGCUUAACCUUACAACGCCAAAGAAGU
rnacentral:rRNA from 1 species